rnacentral:rRNA from 1 species
UACGUAGGGACCGAGCGUUGUCCGGAAUCAUUGGGCGUAAAGAGCGUGUAGGCGGCCACUUAAGUCCUGCGUGAAAUCUUGCGGCUCAACCGCAAGCGGUCGUGGGAAACUGGGUGGCUAGAGUGCGGGAGAGGAAAGCGGAAUUCCUGGUGUAGCGGUGAAAUGCGUAGAUAUCAGGAGGAACACCUGCGGUGUAGACGGCUUUCUGGACCAUUACUGACACUGAGACACGAAAGCGUGGGUAGCAAACAGG